rnacentral:lncRNA from 1 species
ACCACAUUCAUGUGGCAAAUGCUGCUUUAUGGAGAUGUUUCUAAUACUGACCUACAAUAAUUCAGCCAAGAUCACGUUUCUACUGUCUUCAGGAAAUGAGAAAAAUGAAUCUAGGAAAUUUCCAUCUUUAAAUAUACUCUGUAAGUGUGCUGUCCAAUACACACAUAGCUACUGAGCACUGGAAUAUAGCUAGUCUGAAUGGAGAUGUUCUGUUUGACAUUUUUGGACUCCACAUGUGUGAGAUCAUGCAAUAUUUGUCUUUCUGUGCCUGGCUUAUUUCACUUAGCGUAAUGUCCUCCAGGCUCAUCCAGGUUGUUGCAAAAGCAGGAUUUUCUUCUUUUUUAAGGCUUGGAGAGUCAUUUGUUUUCACAAGAGAUUCACACCCUAUGUGAUGCCUUCUGCCAUGGGAUGUCCCUCACCAGAUUCUAGUGCCAUGCUCUUGGACUUCCUAGCCUCCAGAACCAUAAGCCAAAUAAACUUAAGUUCUUUGUAAAUUACCCAAUCUGUGGUAUUCUGUUAUAGCAGCAGAAAAUGAAGUAGAACAUUGAGUCACUUCCCUAAUCUAGACUGGCCAACUCUUUGCAAUUAUGAUCUUAUUAUUCAAUUUUUGAUUUCAGGAACUCUUUCUCCUUUCUACUCCUAAGGAUAAUAGAAUACAUUUUAGUCUUUUGUUUAUGAGAGCAAGUAUACAUUAAUUUUUUUUUCUUUUAGAGUUUUAUGACAGUUGGUAACAUAACUGGAGACCCCCUGAAGUGUGACAAGAAAAAAAUUAUUGCUCUAACUGUAGGGUGGUUGUAGCUACAUCUGAAUAAGACACUUUUGGAAAAUGAGAUAGUAAUCCCCUACAAAUUCUUUGCUGGAGUUCUUAGAUCUGGAGAAGUAAUUUCAUCAUGCAUUGUGAUUAUUUGGGAAAGUCCUAUUGUGCCUUUUUAAGAUGAUAGUGUGGAGCUGAUGGGGGAAAAUAAUCAGGAACAGCUGGAGGCUUUGCAAGUGUUUUCAUGAGCAGGAUGUUCCAUGCCAGGAGGGAAUGCAUUUUACUGGAAUUUUUAAAUAAAAGUGUUCUCCUUCUUGAAUAUGUUUUUUAUUAGUAUUAUUUAGAAAUUUCAGUACUGGCUUUAUUUUCUGUAAUAACAAGGACAGAUAUACUUAUUGCUAAAGAUGUAGUUAACACAGUUUGGUU